CCGCGUGUUUAUCUGUCAAUUCAUCAGUCAUCAAAUCAGCUGUGUAUCACGCAGUGAACAAUGUAAUAACAAAUGUGCGUAUUAAAUUAUUGGUGUGAAAAUGUCCAGUGAGACACUUGAUAAAAAAUCAACUCAAUGUUUAUGAUAAAUUCACGGUGUAGAAGUAAUGGCGCGCCGGCGGAGCAGCGGGAUAACGAGCCUGGGGUUUAAUCAGGAUCAAGGCUGCUUCACUUGCUGUCUAACAUCCGGCCUGCGCGUAUACAAUGUGGAACCUCUCGUCGAAAAGGCUCACUACAGCAAAGAGGAGUUGGGCGAGGUGUCGCUAUGCUGCAUGGUGUUCCGCAGUAACUGGCUGCUGGUGGUGAAGGCGCGCCGCCCCUGCAGCCUGCUGCUGCUAGACGACCAGGUGCGCCAGUUCCGCGCCGAGGUGCUCUUCAAGUGCCCCAUACGAGCGCUCAGAGCUAGGAAAGACAAGGUCGCCGUGGUUCUCCAGUCGAGCAUCCAGGUGCUGUCCCUUCCAUCGCUGCAGCGCGUGGCCCUGCUGCGCACGCCGGCCACGGCGCGCCCGCUGUGCGCACUCGCCACCGAGCCCACCGCGCCGCAGGUGCUGGCUGCGCCGGCGCACCGACGCGGCUCGCUGCAGCUCUUGGAUGUAUCCAGAGCAGUGAAAGGCGCACAGUCCAGCUCGCCAGCGGUCGUCGGGUGCCACCAGACUGACUUAGUGUGUAUAGCGCUGUCGGCUAAUGGCGCCAAGUUGGCCACGGCAUCAGCACGUGGCACCAUCAUCAGACUGUGGGACACUGCCAGCAAGCAGUUGCUGCAUGAGCUGAGGCGUGGCUCCGAUUACGCUGAUGUAUACUGCAUAAGCUUCAACGCGGCGGGCUCGCUGGUGUGCUGCGUGUCGGACAAGGGCACACUGCACGUGUGGGCGGCCCGCGGCGGCUACGGCCGGCUGGCCGCUGCGCACCUGGCCGCCGCGCCCGACACACGCGCGCUCUGCGCCUUCGCCGACGACAACAGCGCCACUGUAAUUUGUGAAGAUGGCACUUUUCAUAAAUUCACCUUUUCCGCCGAAGGUAACUGUCACCGCAGCGACUUCGAAUAUUUUCUACAGGUGGGAGAUGAUGAUGAAUUUCUACAGUGAGUUUUUUUUUACCAACAAUGACUUUUUUUAAAGAAAGAAAUGCGACUGUGAAUCCAAGUGAAUUAAUGCAAACAGACACUUUUGCACAAUUCUUAUAAAAGUUGUGAUUGUGGCACACAGCCUAUAAUAUUCAUACUAAUAGGAAAAACGAUUUCUUGUUAAAUUGCUAUAAAUGAUCUUUGAUUUUCGAACUCUCUAGAUCACGUUUCGAAGGCGUUUUAAGACCAAUGUGAUAAGUAUUCAUGAGCAAACAUAUGCAAUUGGUACUUAAAUUUAAAAGUAACAGGGUCUGAAAAAAAAAUAAUUUGAAAAAUUUAGAAAACCCCCCAAAAAAUCGGCAAAAUUUUUGGUCUUGAAAUUGACAACAUUUACAUUUCAAAUGUGUGUUGCUAUUUUAAAUUUACUAAAAAUACUAAUUUGGUAGCAGAAAAUUUUGAGUAUACCUAUUUUGAGCUUCAUUUUAUAUCCUAAUUAUCAAAGCCUAUUUGUGGUACCAGUUAAAAAGCUUCAAGAUUCCAUAAUUUUCUAGAAAUAGAGUGUAGUCUUUUUAAAUUCUUUGUGUAUCGUAGUGCAUAUUAUCAAAUACUUUUGCUAUAGUAUAAAGGUUGUAUAGGACUAAAUUUAGUCACUAAAUAUUAUCUAUACAUUUGCGAAAACACUUUUAGUGAGUAAAUUGUGUCCUGGGGGUCAAAAAGUCCGCAUUGAAACAGAAAUAUUGCUAUUUGACAUUUGUUCACAUUACGCACUUAUUUUUAUAUGCGCAAAAGUCAAAUUGCUAUAUUACUUUUUAGAUGAAUUGCUUCACUGUGACCUUUUUAGAUCACCUGUACAUUAUAGUGAAAACUAAAUGUUUUUAUCUAUAAAAUAUUUUUGUAGACUUCUCAUAGUAUCAGGUAAAAGACAAAGGCAAUAUUGCAUUUUUUUAAUUAAUAAAUUAAAACACAAAUGUGGGUAAAUGUCGGUUUUCAAUGAUAACAAAGCAGCUUUUCAGUAGAUUUCCGAGUUCUAUGCUGGCAAUAUUUACAUACUCGUUUUCUCAUUGGAUUAACUGUGACUGGGGUUACCAGUUGAGUGAAAAUAGCUGUAUAAAUUCUGUUGGAACGAGCAAUUUUUAUUCUACUACGAUAAAAAUAAAGAUCUUGAGAUAUUUUAUAAAAAAGUUGUUACAAAUGUUAUAAGUUCGUAGGAUAAGCGUUGAUUGCGUUCCAUUAAUUGCUUCUUUGAUUGUGACUUAUAUCCUUGCAAUUUUUAUUGUACUCUUAAAUAAAGCGGUUUAUCAAGGGUAUCGUUUGCCUUCUACUGGUUGUUUUUUAUGGGAAUUAAAACACGUUAAAUAAGAGUUGUUCAUGUUUGUUUAUAUUUAAUACAAAGUUCAUGAAUGAAGGUAGUUAUAUAUUUUUUUCCUUGGCGACGAAUAUUAAUGAUUUAUUCUAUAGUGCAUAAAGUCAUCUUUCUGGUGACAUGGUUCAUAAUUAUGUCUUGUGCCGUUUGUAGAGAGACGAUAAUGCUUUUAAGUGAUGGCAAAAGCAUUUAUUGCUCGUCUUUCUACGAAUGUUCCUAUUUUUACAGCUACGUUCGUACAAUUAUUAUGUAAUGUUCGUUUGUGAUUGUUUCGUGCAAAGGUGGGUAUUCAACGAAUAUUAGCGUGUAUUGUAAUUAUUCUAAUACAUUGGCGAACGAAAUUGACUACGUGGAUAAGGGUAUUUUUUAUUAAGAAAUCGAAUUUCGAAUUAUUACAUUACAUGUAAGCCUAAUGAACACAGAGGCGGUGCGGGGAGCAUUCCGGGCUAUUGUCUAUAACUUUUGCGUUUGCAUGUACGCAUUCAUACAAGCUCGGGCUUAAAUGCACCAGUUGAGUACCCACCUUUAACUCUACCAUCAAUCACACAAUACGGUCGGUUGUAAUACCUCUGCCCACAACAUGCAUUGUGUCUUAUAAUUAAUCGAUGUUAUAUAAAAUCAAUUUUUAAUUAUUUUGCUUUUUCAGUUUCCUCAGCUUUUUAAUUCGUAUUUAAUUAGUGUAACUCAAUGUUUAAAUUGUACCUUUUGCAUUUGCUCAUUUUAGUCAUUACAAUCGAAGGACAUUUUUUUUCAUUAUAAAAAUAAAUAUUUUACUUUUUUAAUUCUCCGAAUUGCCUAAAUUACAUUUCUGAACUCCCUAUGUUAGUAAUAAUUUUGGUUAUUGGAACUGAGAGAGUUUUACAAUUUAUAAGGUUUAUUAUUAUUAUGUAAUUCGUAAUAAUCUAAGGUUUUUAUUAAAACAGAUACGACCCCAUUACUAAAAUUUAAUGUAACAAUUAUGAUGUGUAAUUAUGUAAAUAUAGUUUUAAUAUUCGCAGCUGGCUUUUAUCAAAUGCUUACGAAGUUGGUUGAUAUCAACCCACUAAUAUAAACGGCAUUUGACAGUGGUCAAGCUAUAUUUUAAUACUUAUAAUGAUGUUUAUACAAAGUUAAAUAUUCACAUUGGCAGCAGUGCUAUUACUUUUGGUUAUCUUCCCUAAUUUUGACAACCAACCAGAUACAUUAAUUUAUCCCUCAGUUUUUACUGCUGCAUAUAUUUAUAUUAAACUUUAUAUACACAUAAUUAAUUCUAUAUUAUUUUAGGCAACAGAAGCACAUUUUGGAUGUAAAUAUGGAGUUUCAAAUGACAAUUUAUUUUUUUAUGUAAUCAUAAAGAGACUCCACUGUUUUGUAUAAAAGGAUUAGACUUUAAAUGCCCCGAAUGGGAAGUUUGAAAUUUUAACAAUAAAUAUGUCUUUUAUA
rnacentral:misc_RNA from 1 species